AAUUAAUGAUGAAUUAAAUUAAUCACCAUCUUUCGAAUGAUCAAACGAUGAUUUUGAAUAAUUUCCAACUGAUAACACUU
rnacentral:snoRNA from 1 species